AAGAAAUUAGAAAAAACGAGUAUAGCCGGGCGGCUAUACUAUUUCCUUAUAACGAAAUUUAAAAGUGUAUAGCCGCCCGGCUAUACCAUUUUUAACAAGGAAAG
rnacentral:miRNA from 1 species